UAUGAUCACAUCACGCUGCAACACCGGUUCCUGUAUGAUCAGCAAAGUUAAGCAACGUCGAGCCUAGUCAGUACCUAGACGAGUGACUGCUUGGGAAUACCAGGUGCU